AAGCUGCACGUCAAUCAAUGACUGGGGUACUGAUCCUACUGUCAAGCAAUAAGCCAUCAGCUAUUUUUCAUCAUUUUUUAUAUAUAUAUGGCCAUCAAGGCGCAGUAUCUGCACAGACUAUAGCGCUCAGCUCAUAUUGGUAUUUAAUAGGCAUCCUCCGAUGAUCCAGUCACUGAAAUGCAAGAAUACAUCUUGGAUGAAGAGGAAGAAGCUGUUCUCACAACAGGAAGUCAGCUCGACACAACAGCGUGCUGCAUCUCAAGGCUUCCUCUUCCGCAUCACUGAGCCAGAUAAAAACACUGAAUUCAGACAGCGCCGACGCUGCCAUUUGCCCUCGCAACACACACACACACACACCUGCCAGGACGUAACGUGCAGAAGGAAGACGCGGCCGCUGCUGUCCCCACUGGAGCAGAGAGGACGCCAGCCUUUGAUGUUCCACUCAAAAUUAUUAAUUCCCUGCGUCAGGUUCUGUGUUUCAUCUACAUUUAAAGUCCAAAUCUCGAGUCUGAGCAAAGCUUCUGUUAUGCAAAUCAGCAGUUAAUGUGCAUGCUGGGUUUGCUGGGGUUGUUUAAUGUAUUAUUUUUUGAGAAAAUUAAUGACAUCUGCGUCAGUUGAUAUUGAUCUAAAAUCUAGAUAGAUGUUCCCUGCUGCGCGUCAGAUGAGCUUCAUGUCUUAGUGUGGCCUUCAAAUCACUAGGUUGAACGUCUGAGCACAUGACUCAAAAAUGAAAUGUUCUUUCAGAUUCUUUCAACAUUCACUCACCCUCAUGUUGUUCAAAACCCACAUCGUUUGACUUUCUUGUGUGGUACACAAAAUGAGAAGUUUAGCAAAAGUUCACGCUGCUCUUUUCCAUAAAACAUAAAGUCAUUGAUUCACAGUCUUUUCUUUUAAAGGUCAUAAAUCUCAUCACGCUUACAGUACAUUCAAAGCAUCAUAAUGUGUUGUGUUAAACCUGGGUAAACAUAUCUUGAAUAUCCAGGUUUGAAUAUGAAUGAGAUAUGAGAGAACAACUUAAAGGUUUACUCAGUAUGUUAUCAUUAUUAAAAUGUUUUACACAUGAAAAAACAAACAGCCUUUACUUUCAUAAAUUAUGUAUGUAAUCAUGUAUACCCUUGUGAAAAAACUUUAAAAAGAGUACUUAUUACACAAAUAAUAUACUUUAGAAGAACAACUGAAUGCAAUGUUAUCAGACACUUGCAUGUUAAUUCCAAUUAAAUAAAAAUUUAUUAUAGUUUACAUAUUAAAUGCUUUUAGAGUGAACUUUUGACCCACUCUUGAGUAGAACUUAAGUACAACUUUAUAGGUAAUUUCUUAAUUACUUCUAUCAUCUUUGAAAUAUGGUUAAAUGUGUACUGCUGAAUGUACUGACAAGCAUUUUACCAUAAAUUAUACUUGAAUGUCAUUUCUAUUGACAUUUGUACAUCAUGUAUUUGUGCUUUAUAGGUGCUUUAGUAAGUUAGCAUCAGCAAAAAUGUGUACUUCUUUAAACCAUGUCAAAAAAUUAUUAUAAAACAUAAUGAUUUAAAAUGUAUUUUAAGUUAAAACUUUUAAUUUGAAAUUAUUACAAAGUGACCUUUUUAAAAGUGUACUUAAGUGUGUUAUGAAACAUUGUCAUGAAAGUGUACUCUCUUUAAGUGCGCUUAAUAUUAAUAUUACAUAAUCUAAUAUAUUUAAUAUAUAACAUACUUUUAAAGUCUCCCUGUAGUCAAUUUUAUCCCUUAAAACUCAUUUUUGAUCAACAAAAUUACAUAUUAAAACUUUUUUUCCUGUGAAAAUAAAUGUCUUCAUGCCUUAAAAUAGCUUGAAUGUAACUCUACACCCUUGCCUCAUUUAGUAUACGCGAAUCAAUGAAUAUGCUAAUUAGCCCCGCCUCCACUCGCUCACACAAGCUCAGAGACCCACUUGGUCAACUUACUGAUGUAAAUGCUGCGCUAUUGUUUUUUUUUACUAACGUCGGACACAUAACGGUAAUUAAUAUGAUUAGCCUUUUGCUUGACUACGCUAUAAAACAGCUAAUAAUGUGUUGCUAAUGUUACACAAACCAUGUUCCCGUUCGCCAUCUCAGAGUCAGACAGCUGCCUUCUAGCAAUCAGUAUCCUUACAAACGCUUUGAACAACUCAGAACAUCAGUGGAGAAGCGCAUAUAGUUCAUCAUACACCCACUAUAUUGCUAAAUCUACACGAUUUUUCAUAUCAACAGAAAAAUAUACCAGGAUAACCUGGCUUCUCUUGUGACUCUCCUGCUUCAGAGCGGUAAUAGUUAAUAAUAUGCUAAAACUCGCCGGCAUGUUGACGUGAUUGGUUACAAGGUAGUUUGUGACGUCAGAAACACCAGCAAUUUCAAACUGUGUUUUUGUCUUUAAAUCACUGCAGUUUUAUGGAGAAAAUACUCAGCAAUGGUGUUGACUUAUGUAUUUGCACAUGGUUUGUCUUAAAGCACAUUCAAAACACAUAAAGACAUAUAAACAACAUUAAAAACUUGAUUUUCACCACAGGGUUUCUUUAAGAUUUGAUGUAUACUACAAGUGCACAUUUAAUACAAUUAAGCACACUUCUUUUUCACAAGGGCACCCACAUGAGACAAAGACUCCAGUCAUAUAUCAGUAGCCUAAAAAAAAUACUGAUUAUUUGAAAUGAAGAAGCAGGUUCGCAGCACACCAGACAAACCUUAUCAGAAACCCCCUAUUAGAUAAUUUCACUCAAAGAAAUUAAUAUUGAAUAAAUUAAUCCUAUCUGUGUAUAUAUUGUGAAUGUCACAUUUCUACAAUUACAGCGGUAAUUGAAAAUAAGAAGCCAAUCUGAUUGGACUACAUUUAUAGUCAAUGUGUGUUAAUUGAGCUUUUUUGGUCAUUUGAAGCUUGACAGAGACUGAUCACUAAAUGAUUUCAUUGUAAUGCUAAAGAGCAGUCAGGACAUUUUGGUAAAUGUGUACUUUUGUGUUUCACAGGGAGAAAAAAUAAUAACAGCAUACAAAACGAGGACAGAAUUGUUAUUUUUGGAUUCUCUUUAACUUAAAAAAAGUUUUGGUUACACUUUAUUUUAAGGUGUCCUAUUUAAAUAAUUUUAUUUAUGCAUUUAUAUUUAAUGUUUGGUGCUUUUUAUUUGUGUUAAAUAACUUAGAGGUGUGUCAUGAAGUCAUUCUGAAGUGUCUGCUAGCAUUAAUCCCUCUCACCCUGAGGCUGCAGACAGCAACUGCACCAUAGCUGGAUGCUCACCUAAUUUGACUGAAAGCAACACUGUUCUCAGAACAGACUGAAUGAGUGUGCUUACUGAGCCACAGGAAGUGACCUCCAACAUCAGCGGCUGAAGUGCACUCAGUGUUUUACUGCAGGUCAUUCCAGAUGAUAUUUCCUGAUGAUAUUAAGGAUCUCCUCCCUUGAGUGGCACCAGACAAACCCCGCCCCAACCAGACUAAACCCCGCCCACAAACUCAUCUCAUCACAGCUGUGUGCUCACAUGGUUUUGAUUUCCCAUUAAAAUGUCUCAUUUCCAUACAAUAUCAAAGACCAAAAGAGACUCAAAAACUUGAAAAGACUCAAAAAAGACUGAAGGACUGGAAGCCAGCACAGUAAUUCACAUCAUAUGGAAAACACCAAUGAAUCAUUGCAAAUGAUCUUGCUUGAGUAUGAAAAUGUUUUUCUCCAGUCUUUGGUUUUGUCUGAAUUCUGAUGCCCUUCUGUGGAGAUGUUUUUAGUGUUGGGAAAAUAUUUUGAACAUGCUGUGUUAAUUUCAUUUGCUUGAUUUCAUCCCAGUAUCUGAAUUUAUGACUGACAAAAUAUAUUAGCUAAGCAUUUUGUUUUUUAAAACUUUUUUGUGGGAGAGACAUUGGUCUUUGAGUGAUUUUAUUGCCAAGUGUUGAGUUCUGCAACACAUUUAUUUUGCAUUAGACACUUUUUAACAAUUAUUUCCUCACUUAUAGAUACCAGAGGUUUCUGACCACAUAAAACACAACUUGCAAAAUUUGAAAGGUGAUAUGCGAGUGUUACAGUAUUUAAACGGAGAGCCACAUUAUUUACUGUGCGGUGACACUGUUACAGUUACUGUUAAUUUGUUUGCUGAAACAACGUGCCUUAAGCAGAAACAUGUGAGAGAAACGUUCUAAGAAAAUCAUGUCAGGAUAUUUAAGAAAAGUCAUACAUAACCUACAUCACCCAUAAUAUUGAAAACAGCAUGGUAGAUUGUAGAUGGCGCACAUGUUGGAUCAUGUUUGGAAUGGCAUACUACCAUACUAUUAUUACAGUUUCUGCAGUAUGUACACUAUGGUAAUUUCUGUGCAUAGAAAACCAGAUAACAAACAAUAUUUGCCAAAAUUUGCAGUAUGUAAAAAGAGCUUCAACCGGAAGUAAUCAAACUGCCAAAAGUUAGCACAUUAUGCUCUUACUAGUUCUGCCAUAGAAAGAUAUGGUAAAAGUAGUAUGAGUAGUAUACUAUUAUGCAGUUCGAAUUCAUUAAAUAUGUACAUAUUAAGACCUUGCAUUGCAACAACAAUGCAGCACACAAAUUGUUGGCAGUACAUAGUAUAUAGUUGACCCACAAUGCAUCAUUCCAAACAGAAUGGGAAGGCAAAUCUGUCUCUGAUUGGCUCAUCUGUGUCCAAUAAGUGGCAGUAAACCUCACUUCCUUUAAAGAUGACCUAAUGUAGAGUGACAUUCCUUUACCAGAGUCUCCUUUUUACUGUGUCCGUUAAUUUAAAUGAACGUGUUUACACACACCAUAUAUCCACAGGGCCUUGUGAAAUCCCCCUAACAAGAGCUCCAGUGUAUGGACUGAUCUACAGAUGAAGAAUGACAGUCUAUAUGGUUAUUUCUGAAAUCGAAGGCAGCUAAACAGGCAGUGUUUUCUGUAUGUAGGUACCUUGUAAGGAAACAUGCAGACAGGCUUCCAAGGCACAAUAACGUCCCUUUAAAUAUUCUAGAACAAGUUCAGAUGAGGUUACAAAGGAUAUAUUUAGUGACUACAAUGCUUGGUAGCAGUAGAAAGUUGAAUUCAUAAGCUGAAAAAAAAAGAAGGCAGGCUUU